rnacentral:rRNA from 1 species
UUUAUCUGUUGACAGGUCUUUGUUGCGUGAAAAAAGAUCGACACAAUUCAAGGAAUGAUAACAAAGAAACAACACGUAUAAAUGAAUAAUUUAUUAGUGUGUAUCAAUCGAGUUUCUGACCUAUCAGCUUUUGAUGUUAAGGUAUUGGCCUAACAUGGCU